CUUUGGUGACUCUAAAUAAACUCGGGCCGAUCGCACCUCCCCGUGAUGGCGACGACGCAUUCCGAUGUUUGCCCUAUAAACUUUCGAUGUUACUUUCUGUGCCUACCAUGGUGACCACGGGUAACGGGGAAUCAGGGUUCGAUUUCGGAGAGGGAGCCUGAGAAACGGCUACCACAUCCAAGGAAGGCAGCAGGCGCGCAAAUUACCCACUCCCGACGCGGGGAGGUAGUGACGAUAAAUAACAAUACAGGACUCUUUCGAGGCCCUGUAAUUGGAAUUAGUACACUUUAAAUCCUUUAAUGAGGAUCUAUUGGAGGGCAAGUCUGGAGC